GAUCAUGGCUCAGGAUGAACGCUAGCUACAGGCUUAACACAUGCAAGUCGAGGGGCAGCAUGACGGAAGCUUGCUUUCGUUGAUGGCGACCGGCGCACGGGUGAGUAACGCGUAUCCAACCUGCCCUUGUCCAUCGGAUAACCCGUCGAAAGGCGGACUAACACGAUAUGCAGUUCUCAGCAGGCAUCUAACGAGAACGAAAUGUGAAGGAGAAGGAUGGGGAUGCGU
rnacentral:rRNA from 1 species